rnacentral:rRNA from 1 species
AUUAGAUACCCUGGUAGUCCACGCUGUAAACGAUGAGUGCUGAAUGUGGGGGCUUUUGCCUCUGUGUUGUAGCUAACGCGUUAAGCACUCCGCCUGGGGACUACGGUCGCAAGACUAAAACUCAAAGGAAUUGACGGGGACCCGCACAAGCGGUGGAGCAUGUGGUUUAAUUCGAUGCAACGCGAAAAACCUUACCACUUCUUGACAUGGAGGCUAGAUCCUUCUUAACGGAAGGGCGCAGUUCGGCUGGGCCUCGCACAGGUGCUGCAUGGCUGUCGUCAGCUCGUGUCGUGAGAUGUUGGGUUAAGUCCCGCAACGAGCGCAACCCUCAUCCUUAGUUACCAGCGGGUAAUGCCGGGCACUUUAAGGAAACUGCCAGUGAUAAACUGGAGGAAGGUGGGGAUGAUGUCAAGUCAGCAC